AUGGACAGGACCUACAGGCUCCUCUUCUUGGUGGCAGCAGCCACAGGUGCCCAAUCCCAGGUGCAGCUGGUGCAGUUUGGGCCUGAGGUGAAGCAGCCUGCGGCCUCACUGAAGGUCUUCUGCAAGGCUUCUGGUUACAGCUUUACAACCUAUGGUAUGAAUUGGGUGAGACAGGUCCCUGAAGAAGGGCUUGAGUGGAUGCGAUGGAUGAACACCAACACUGGGAACCCAAUGUAUGCCCAGGGCCAAACAGGACAGUUUGUCUUCUCCACGGACACCUCUGUCAGCACAGUGCAUCUGCAGAUCAGCAGACUAAAGCCUGAGGACACUGCUGUGUAUUACUGUAUGGGAGACACAGUGUGGAAACCCACAUCCUGAGAGAGUCAGAAGCCCUGAGGGAAGAGGUAGCUGUGCUGAGCUGAGGCAGUGGUGCAGCAGUUUCUUUAUCUUCCAUAUGAUCUCAUUUUGCAUCAACUUCCACUGUGAUAUUA